ACAGGGUGACAGGUGGUGCAUGGUUGUCGUCAGCUCGUGUCGUGAGAUGUUGGGUUAAGUCCCGCAACGAGCGCAACCCUCGACCUUAGUUGCCAGCAUUCAGUUGGGCACUCUAAGGUGACUGCCGGCUAAAAGUCGGAGGAAGGUGGGGAUGACGUCAAAUCAUCAUGCCCCUUAUGACCCGGGCUACACACGUGCUACAAUGGGCGGUACAAGGGUCGCGAACCCGCGAGGGGGAGCCAAUCCCAAAAAGACCGCUCUCAGUUCGGAUUGCAGGCUGCAACUCGCCUGCAUGAAGCCGGAAUCGCUAGUGAUCGCGGAUCAGCAUGCCGCGGUGAAUACGUUCCCGGGCCGUU
rnacentral:rRNA from 1 species